UCCACGCCUCGGCUCUCUGCUCUCCACGUCUGUCCAGCACCUCUGCUCUCCAUCAUCAUGGCAUAUUGUAAUUCUGUGACCUUCUGCCUGCCAAGCAGAAGACCCUAAGGAGCUGGGAGCCCCCUCCUUCACAGACACUACCAUUCCCUGUAGAUCCACACUGAGCCAAAUGCUUUCCUUCUCAUCAGAGGCUGGUUCCUAUGCAAAGGAGGGGAGCACAGCUUUGCUUCCGGGAGCUCUUGGACUAUCUGGAUACUGGUUUUUAUUGUCACAGUGGGGAGAUAGUCCCAGCGGGGAAGCUACUCUUAAGAAGUUUCAUCAACAUGACUACCUAAACCAGAGCUGAACAAAGAUGACAGCAAUGGACAUGCUAAUACAGAGAGGAGAAAUUUCAUGGGGCCUCAACUCCAGACAAAGAACUAUGGAGAGUACUUCAAUUCAAAGAAAAUACAAUGAUUCUACACCAAAAGCCGAGCUUCCUGUUCUCACUGAAUAGUCCCUAGAC